rnacentral:rRNA from 1 species
CAGCCGCCGCGGUAAUACCGGCGGCCCGAGUGGCGGUCACUCUUAUUGGGCUUAAAGCGUCCGUAGCCGGGUUGGGAAGUCCUCCGGGAAAUCUGGCCGCUUAACGGUCAGAAUGCCGGAGGAUACUCCCAGCCUAGGGAGCGGGAGAGGCCGAGGGUAUUCCCGGAGUAGGGGGGAAAUCCUAUAAUCCCGGGAGGACCACCUGUGGCGAAGGCGCUCGGCUGGAACGCGUCCGACGGUGAGGGACGAAGGCCAGGGGAGCAAACCGGAUUAGAUACCCGGGUAGUCCUGGCUGUAAACGAUGCGGACUUUGUGUCGGACAAGCUAUGAGCUUGUCCGGUGCCGGAGGGAAACCGUUAAGUCCGCCGCCUGGGGAGUACGGCCGCAAGGCUGAAACUUAGAGGAAUUGGCGGG